AGAGUUUGAUCCUGGCUCAGGAUGAACGCUAGCGACAGGCCUAACACAUGCAAGUCGAGGGGCAGCACAAGGAGCAAUCUGAGGUGGCGACCGGCGCACGGGUGAGUAACACGUAUGCAACCUGCCUGUAAGCGGGGGAUAACCCGUUGAAAGACGGACUAAUACCGCAUAAUACUGGAGAUCUGCAUGGAUAUUCAGUUAAACAUUUAUGGCUUACAGAUGGGCAUGCGCAUGAUUAGAUAGUUGGAGAGGUAACGGCUCCCCAAGUCAACGAUCAUUAGGGGUUCUGAGAGGAAGGUCCCCCACACUGGUACUGAGACACGGACCAGACUCCUACGGGAGGCAGCAGUGAGGAAUAUUGGUCAAUGGGCGCAAGCCUGAACCAGCCAUCCCGCGUGCAGGAAGACGGCCCUAUGGGUUGUAAACUGCUUUUCCGGGGGAAGAAUAACCGCCCUGCGGGGCGGGAUGCCGGUACACCGGGAAUAAGGAUCGGCUAACUCCGUGCCAGCAGCCGCGGUAAUACGGAGGAUCCGAGCGUUAUCCGGAUUUAUUGGGUUUAAAGGGUGCGUAGGCGGGAUAAUAAGUCAGUGGUGAAAGUUUGCAGCUUAACUGUAAAAUUGCCGUUGAAACUGUUAUUCUUGAGAGUAGAUAAGGUAGGCGGAAUGUGUUGUGUAGCGGUGAAAUGCAUAGAUAUAACACAGAACCCCGAUUGCGAAGGCAGCUUACCGGGCUACAUCUGACGCUGAUGCACGAAAGCGUGGGGAUCAAACAGGAUUAGAUACCCUGGUAGUCCACGCAGUAAACGAUGAAUACUAGCUGUAUGCGAUAUACUGUAUGUGGCAAAGCGAAAGCAUUAAGUAUUCCACCUGGGGAGUACGUUCGCAAGAAUGAAACUCAAAGGAAUUGACGGGGGCCCGCACAAGCGGAGGAACAUGUGGUUUAAUUCGAUGAUACGCGAGGAACCUUACCCGGGCUCGAACGGUGCAGUAAUAUGGUAGAGAUAUCAUAGCUAGCAAUAGACUGUAUCGAGGUGCUGCAUGGUUGUCGUCAGCUCGUGCCGUGAGGUGUCGGCUUAAGUGCCAUAACGAGCGCAACCCUUGUCGUUAGUUACCAUCAAGUAAAGUUGGGGACUCUAGCGAGACUGCCACCGUAAGGUGUGAGGAAGGGGGGGAUGACGUCAAAUCAGCACGGCCCUUACGUCCGGGGCGACACACGUGUUACAAUGGGGGGUACAGCGGGCAGCUACCUGGCGACAGGAUGCUAAUCUCUGAAAGCCUCUCUCAGUUCGGAUCGGAGUCUGCAACUCGACUCCGUGAAGCUGGAUUCGCUAGUAAUCGCGCAUCAGCCAUGGCGCGGUGAAUACGUUCCCGGGCCUUGUACACACCGCCCGUCAAGCCAUGGAAGCCGGGGGGACCUGAAGUACGUAACCGUAAAGGAGCGUCCUAGGGUAAAACCGGUAACUGGGGCUAAGUCGUAACAAGGUAGCCGUACCGGAAGGUGCGGCUG
rnacentral:rRNA from 1 species